GUAAGCCUACGGGAGGCAGCAGUAGGGAAUCUUCCACAAUGGACGAAAGUCUGAUGGAGCAACGCCGCGUGAGUGAAGAAGGGUUUCGGCUCGUAAAGCUCUGUUGGUAGUGAAGAAAGAUAGAGGUAGUAACUGGCCUUUAUUUGACGGUAAUUACUUAGAAAGUCACGGCUAACUACGUGCCAGCAGCCGCGGGAAUACGUAGGUGGCAAGCGUUGUCCGGAUUUAUUGGGCGUAAAGCGAGUGCAGGCGGUUCAAUUAAUCU
rnacentral:rRNA from 1 species